AGGACGAACGCUGGCGGCGUGCUUAACACAUGCAAGUCGAGCGGUAAGGCCUUUCGGGGUACACGAGCGGCGAACGGGUGAGUAACACGUGGGUGAUCUGCCCUGCACUCUGGGAUAAGCCUGGGAAACUGGGUCUAAUACCGGAUAUGACCUGCUCUCGCAGUGGGGGGUGGGUGGAAAGAUUUAGUCGGUGCGAGGGAUCGGGCCCGCGGCCUAUCAGCUUGGUUGGGUGGGUAAUGGCCUACCAAGGCGACGACGGGUAGCCGACCUGAGAGGGUGACCGGCCACACUGGGACUGAGACACGGCCAGACCUCCGUACGGGAGGCAGCAGGUGGGAAUAUUGACACGAAGUGGGACGAAAAGCCUAGACUGCAGCGACGCCGGCGUGAGGAUGGAACGGUCCGUUACGGGUUCUAAACCGUCGUUUACGAG
rnacentral:rRNA from 1 species